CACGUAGGGAGCAAGCGUUGUCCGGAUUCAUUGGGCGUAAAGAGCGCGCAGGCGGUCGUGCAAGUCGCGUGUGAAAGCCCCCGGCUCAACUGGGGAGGGUCACGCGAUACUGCUCGACUCGAAGGCAGGAGAGGGAAGUGGAAUUCCCGGUGUAGUGGUGAAAUGCGUAGAUAUCGGGAGGAACACCAGUGGCGAAGGCGACUUCCUGGCCUGUUCUUGACGCUGAGGCGCGAAAGCUAGGGUAGCAAACGGG
rnacentral:rRNA from 1 species